rnacentral:rRNA from 1 species
AUACGUAGGGUGCAAGCGUUAAUCGGAAUUACUGGGCGUAAAGCGUGCGCAGGCGGAUUUGUAAGAAAGAGGGGAAAUCCCCGGGCUCAACCUUGGAACUGCCCUUGUGCCUGCCAGGCUCGAGUACGGCAGAGGGUGAUGGAAUUCCGCGUUGUGUAGUGAAAUGCGUAGAUAUACGGAGGAACACCGAUGUCGAAGGCAAUCCCCUGGGCCUGUACUGACGCUCAGGCACGAAAGCGGGGGGAGCAAACAGGAUUAGAUACCCUGGUAGUCCACGCCCUAAACGAUGUCAACUGGUUGUUGGGUCGUAACUGACUCAGUAACGAAGCUAACGCGUGAAGUUGACCGCCUGGGGAGUACGGCCGCAAGGUUGAGUCUCAAAUGAAUUGACGGGU